CGCCAUGAGGGAUUAUUCAUGGUCUAACCUGCUCACUGCUCAUGAAGUAAAGAGCCGCGGUAUUUUGACCGUGCUAAGGUAGCGUAAUCAAUUGGCUCAUAAUUGGAGUCCCGUAUGAAAGGAUUUCCCGCGCUGGACUGUCUCCUUUCAAUUUAGUUGAAUUUACUGUGCAAGUGAAAAAGCUUGUUCUAAAUAAAAAGACGAGAAGACCCUCAGAAUUUUUACUAAAAAUUUUCACUUUUGUGUUUUGAUUGGGGCGAUCAUGGAGCAUUAGAAUCCUCCACGUAAUACACAUGGCGAUGAAUAAUAGGAAAGAAUAAAUUACCUGAGGGAUAACAGCAUUAUUCUUAAAAUGAGAUUGUGACCUCGAUGUUGGACUAGGGAGCCUCUCCGCUAGCCGCGGGGAGAGCGGGUUCUGUUCGAACUAAUACCCCU
rnacentral:rRNA from 1 species